ACAUGUUGGUGUCAUGCCUCUUA
rnacentral:siRNA from 1 species